CUUGAGUGGGCGGCGCAGAUCGCUUUGUUCUCGCGGACGACGACAUUGUUCGAUCAAACAUGAUCGGCACCAAGAAGAUCCUUGUUGGACUUCUCGUCCUGGCAAUGAUCCUUGCCAUUGCCAUGGCACAGUUCGAAAAUGUUGAGGAACGUCGGCUUGGUGAUCAACGUGGUUUGGGCCGUGACCGAGGCUACCGCGGCUCACGCGGACGUGGUGACGACCGUAGAUUUCACGAUGGACGUGAUCGUGACCAUACAUUCGGUCGCGACCGUGGCUCUGGACGUAACCGUGGCCGAGACCAUGGCAGGGGAGGUGGACGAGAUUUUGGCAGAUUUUGAUUAUUGCUUCCUCUGCUCUACCCGAUGUUUCUGCACAGAAAAACGGAGGCAUGUGUAAUAUGUUUUAAAUGAACGAAAGAUGAAAUGCGCGGCCGGCUGCACCAAGUAAUGACAGACGGCAUAAUUAAGACACAACCGAGCAAAGCGGAGGUUAGCGAACAUUUCAAGAGGUAAAUUUGCCACCAGCAAUGACCGCUUGUCCAACACCUGGGACUCAUGAAAAGAAAUCUGGUUACGAUGAACACAGUGCUUCUGAAAUAAGUACGCAUAGAUGUGAUAAACCGUGUUAUGUCCGUACAGAACUGCGAUUCUUAGUACAGAAAGAGUCGCGUAUCUCUCAGGAACAGAGCUUGUAAAGCGUGUUUCAAAUAAAUAUCGUCAUCUUUCACUGAGAGCAAGAUGCGUGCUCUGUUAAGUAGUCGAAAAUUUAGUUUCAUCUCCGAGAUCUCAGACUCGAAUAUAAAUAUAUUUGUCACAAAAUGAGUGUAAUAAAGGAUACUGGCAAAUUCUCAGAGCUGGUGAUAUGACAACACGAGUGCUCGCGAACUGCCAGAUGUUUUAACUCUUUCACGCCUGGAGGCCAGCGCUGCUGACCAACAUUUCAAUUUUUAUUUGCAGUGUUUAGCCAAGAAAAAAGUGUUCACUUUUUCCCGUUAGUCUUCUCGGAAACAACGCAAAUGGCCCUAGUUGUCUAGGGAGCCUUUUUUAUUGUCAAGCAACAGCCUUAUAACCAGCUUGACGUUUCCCGUGCUGUGCCCUGAAAAUUACUACUGGCGCAAAGGCACGUAAACUUAGAAUGAACCUUUUUCGGAUGUAACACAGCGCAGGAAUAUAUCCUACUGGCUGUAUUGGCAAAUAUACGUUGUGGAUCAUCUUGACGCGGCAUUGCGAUAGCUCUUAUGGUAGUCACCUGUACUGACCACUAUGCAUGAAAG